ensembl:lncRNA
GGACGGCGCGGUAUCAAUUUCUUAUAUGCAGCUGACCGCGCCCUCGCCUCUUUAAAUUUAUUGACCACAGCCUCAACUGAUGUGCCAAAUAAUUCAGAGGGCGAGACUGGCGAAUCAAGAAGAAAAUGUUUCUCCUUCUCCCCGAUGUCAGCCAAAUUAACCCACAGAUGUCUCUCCGUGGCCACCAUUGCCGCCAUUGCACGACCAAUAGCGGCAGCUGUUUGUUUAGUGGCACGGAGAGAAAGAUCUGUAGUGUGGCGCAGCUCGAUCACCGCUUCAGGGGACAGGCCCUUUCCAUCGUCCAGGGCUUUAAGCAGAUCAGCCUGGUAGGCUUGCAACACAGCCAUUGUGUGCAGAGCACCACCAGCCUGACCCGCAGCUGCAUAUGCCCUGCCGUUCAGCUUAGAUGUCAUUCUCAGAGGCUUAGACGGCAAGGUCGGAGUCUUUAACAUCGAUGUUUCUCCCAUUGAAAGAUAGUUUGCCAACGUCUCUUCUAUGGGAGGCAUCGAUGCAUAUCCGUGCUCGCUCAAUCCCUCCACGUUCGCAUAAUUUGCACGGUGAAAAAGAUGAACGCGAGCCGAAUAUGGGUUUUUCCAAGACCUUUCCACCUCGGUGUGCAGGUCUGGCAAAAACGGAAGACUCGUCGGAAUUGGGAGAUCAUGGCCAGCCAAAAAACGCUCAUCUAAUCUGCCGCGAGCGGGCUUUGGCUUUUCGUGCUUCCAAGAGAGACUUAAUCUCUCAGUUGCACGAGUCAUGACCUCCAACAAUUCAGCAUAUGCAGGGCAGGCAGGCUGAGAGGGUUCAAAUGCUUUAUCUUCAUCCUCAUCAACCACAUCCUGCUCUUCUAGGCUUGCAUUUGUCCGAGCACUAUCAGCUGGAUCAGAUGAUCCUAAAGAAAGAACAUCUACAUCCAACUGAUCGCCCUCGUCGGCGGCAGAAGAUUGAGAAAGAGAAAUACCUCGUUCGAAAUCCUCCGCCAGCUCGACCUGCGAGCCCCAUGAUCUCAGUCUCCGCUGUGCCUCGGCUGCAGCAGGUCCUGAACCACGGGGCGCCGACGCUUGUCCUAAUUCCCUCGAGAAAAGGGACAAGCGUGAACGGAGCUUUUUCAUCGAAAAGCUCUCGCAAGCCGCGCAUUCCGCUCCCUCGAGAGCAGAACGCGCAUGAUCCUCUCCGAGACAAAAAACGCACAUAUCGUGUGAAUCAUCCGGUGUCAAAAAACGCGGACACGGGGAAACACACUUCCUAAAGUGCUUGCCAGAGGAUGCCAUUACUCACGCUUCAAACAAACGGAUCUCCUGAAGACAAAGAAGAGGAUGAUGUGUUCCACGGUGCCCUUUUUAUACCCGCAGUCGCAUUAUUGUUUACGUCACGGGCUACCACCUGCC